GAUGAACGCUGGCGGCGUGCCUAAUACAUGCAAGUCGAGCGAACAGACGAGGAGCUUGCUCCUCUGACGUUAGCGGCGGACGGGUGAGUAACACGUGGAUAACCUACCUAUAAGACUGGGAUAACUUCGGGAAACCGGAGCUAAUACCGGAUAAUAUAUUGAACCGCAUGGUUCAAUAGUGAAAGACGGUUUUGCUGUCACUUAUAGAUGGAUCCGCGUCGCAUUAGCUAGUUGGUAAGGUAACGGCUUACCAAGGCAACGAUGCGUAGCCGACCUGAGAGGAUGAUCAGCCACACUGGAACUGAGACACGGUCCAGACUCCUACGGGAGGCAGCAGUGGGGAAUCUUGCACAAUGGGCGAAAGCCUGACCGAGCAACGCCGCGUGAGUGAUGAAGGUCUUCGGGUCGUAAAGCUCUGUUGUUAGGAAAGAAAAGAAGUAGGUGAAUAUCUGGACGUUUUGACGGUACCUAAACAAAAAGCACCGGCUAACUUCGUG
rnacentral:rRNA from 1 species